UACUAGAGUAGCACUCGCAUAUCAAUAAGCGGAGGAAAAGAAACUAACAAGGAUUCCCCUAGUAACGGCGAGUGAAGCGGGAAGAGCUCAAAUUUGAAAUCUUAAAGGGUUUCCCUUUACGAAUUGUAGUUUAAAGAAGUGUUUUCUGUUGAGGUUUUGGUAAAAGUUCUUUGGAAUAGGACAUCAUAGAGGGUGAGAAUCCCGUAUUUGACCUUUACUUUCAACUUUGUGAUACACUUUCGAAGAGUCGGAUUGUUUGGGAAUGCAGUCCAAAAUGGGUGGUAAAUUUCAUCUAAAGCUAAAUAUUGGCGAGAGACCGAUAGCGAACAAGUACCGUGAGGGAAAGAUGAAAAGAACUUUGAAAAGAGAGUUAAACAGUACGUGAAAUUGUCAAAAGGGAAGCGUUUGACACCAGUGUUGUUUUUCUGAAAAUCAAUUAAAGAACUGUUUAUGCUAAGUUGUUUAGACUUUAUCAGCUAACUGUUUAGUUUUGAGCUUUUCUUUAAUGCACUUUUCAGUUAACAAGUCAACAUCAAUUUCUUUUGCUGUAAAAAAGCUUGAGGAAGGUGGCUUGAGAUUCGUCUUAAGUGUUUAUAGCCUCUUGCCUAUGCAGUCGGAGAGAUUGAGGUCUGCAGCGUAGAUCCUUCGGGGCUAAAUGCAUUUGUGCUAAGUUAUAGCAUUUUAUAGACAACUUGUUGACUAUGAUUUGUCUUGUAGCUUACUCGCUUAUGUUAUUUUACCUACGCUUAGGAUGUUGAGCGCAUGUCUCUCUCU
rnacentral:rRNA from 1 species